GAGAGUUCACUCGAGUAUAAGCCAAGGGGGGAGUUUUCAGCACGAAAAAUCGUGCUGAAAAACUCGGCUUAUACUCGAGUAUAUACGGUAAUGCUCUAUUGACCUACCAAUAUAGGACAAUAUCUCCCACUUUAUAUGGGCCAUAUUUUGAUGCAUAUUUGCUGCUGCAUAUUUUUAUACCCAUUGAAGUCAAUAAGUAGCAAAACCAGCUGCGUAUUUUGCUACCCAUUGAUUUCAAUGGGUAGGAAAAUAUGCAGAAGAAAAUACGGCACGUGUGACCCUACCCUAAAACGGGCCAUACACUUUAGUUGACUUUUUACUAAAUAUCAACAGCUACUGUAUUAAUCUUGACCCACACAUACACACUCUGCCAAGUUUGCAUAUGUUUUUAAUGUAGAGAAGGGAGCAAACAGCUGACAGACAUCUAUGAUGGUGGCUUAUAUCCCCAAGGAAAAACAUUCUAUAAUGUAGGGAUAUGUUUCAUGUUCAGAGCAUGUCUCUGUUCAUUCUCGUAAAGUAAACCUAAUAAAAGAGGUAUCAUAUGACCCUAUCUAUGAGCCAGGGCAGAGCAGAUUGGCAUGAUUGGCAUAAGAUGGUACAUUCCCUCUACAAUGGCCAUGUAAUGCUAUCUAGAGUUUUCCUGGAUGGUAACAGCAGCUUACUAAAAUCUUCAUUUCUUAAAGUUUCGGGUAUUCGGUGAAUUUAAAGCAUUCCAAAAAACAACUUAGAGAUGCUUUAUCUAGACGGCAGCAUAGUGUCCCUACUUUAUAAAUUCACAUUUAACAAACUGCAAAAGGACUUUCAUAAACAUAAUAAUCCCGUAUUGUGUAAUCUAGAUCUGCUGUUUCCAGAAGAGUUACAAAACCAAAGGCCGGAAACAAUUAGGUUGCAUUCUCUAGAAGACGGGUUGUCACAAGAGUGCGACUGACUGAUCACUAGAUCAAAUUCCCUUCCCUCCUUUACGUAAAUUGUGAAGAUUUUCUGCAGAAAGUAUGCUGGGAUCCAGGAUCUUAGGAUACUCUUGGAAUAUAGCAUAAGGGGUGUUAGGGAGGAAAUUGAUCUGUGAUCAAAGGAGGGAAAUUAAAUGGUUAAAAGAAAUGAACUCUACAAAAUACUUAAAUGCUUAAAGAUGAUUAUCUGCAGACUUGCCGAGUCCGCUAUAUGUGCUUAAUUUACAGUAACAUAAUAAAAGGAACCGAAUAUAGACACAAAGGCCCAGAUUUAUCAAACUGUGUGAGAGAAAAACUGUAGAAAUGUUUCCACAGCAGCCAAUCACAGCUCAGCUAAUGAGCUGAGGUAAAGUGAAAGCUGAGGUGUGAUUGGUUGCUCUGGGAAAAUCCCUGAGAUAUUUCUCCAUCAAUACUGACUGCUGGGAGGAAAUGCUUUUUCCACCAUCAAAAUGACAGACACCUCAGAAGAAGCUAAUAAACCUUAUUGUAUGUGUGUUGGGAGCCUUGAAGCAUAAUGGUCCUGAGGCUGAAAAUGGAGGAGAAUGGGUUGGGAGGAAAGGUGAAUGGCUGCCAGACAUCUCCAAGCAUCAUUGAUCCCAGGGGAGAAAGAACCUAACAUGGCUUAUUGUUUUACACUAUAACAUUAAAACCAGAUGAAGUGAAUAACUCAUUAUUUUGUGACAAUGGUACCUGUCAGGGGUGGGAUAUAUUAG